rnacentral:tRNA from 1 species
GGGUUCGUGGCCUAAUGGUAAGGCGUCAGAUUUCGGUUUGAUUAAUUCGAGUACCGGUCCUCUGAAGAUUGCAGGUUCGAUCCCUGCCGAGCUCG